GCCCCUGUAGCUCAAUGGUUCGAGCCCCACGUUUCUGCAUGGGAGAUUGAGGUUCAAAUCCCUCUAGGGGCA
rnacentral:tRNA from 1 species